rnacentral:tRNA from 1 species
CGAGAGAAAUCUGUUGAUGUUAGAGACUGCUAAUCUUCUAUCCCCUCGGUUAAAUUCCGUGGUUCACUCG